CCAUAGUGCUCCUGUAAGUUGCUCUGGAUAAGAGCAUCUGCUAAAUGACUAAAA
rfam:Salmo salar isolate Sally breed double haploid chromosome ssa05, whole genome shotgun sequence.